rnacentral:ncRNA from 1 species
CGUUCUCAGGGCGGAGUGAAAUUCUCCACCGGUGGUGAUUUUUUUAUAAAAAUAAGUCCAUGAGCACAAUUGUGUUGAUUUGGUGAGAUUCCAAAACCGACGGUUACAGUCCGGAUGAAAGAGAAG